UUUCCACAUCGAAGGCGGCAUGGCUAAGUGUCCAUGCUGAUUGUUACCUAUGCUGUGGUACGGUUUUGUGUUUGUGUUGGUCGUUGGAUGUUUUGUGCAUUUUGGAGGGUAAUUAUUGUGAAUUAUGAAAUAAUAACCUAACAAACCUAACAAAUUUGUUAGCACAAGCAUUUGUUUCGAUUCAUUUUCGAUUUCUCGUGGUCAUAUAUGUGGUCAACCGUGUUUUUUUUUAUGAAAGUGUCGAGUGUGACACUGUCGAAGCAGUACCAGAAUCAUGGAUUAUAAAGGAUUGAAAGCAGUGCUAUUGGCCAUCAAAUGCAUAGAGUAAAAUUGAAGAAUUUAAUAGCCAAAUGUGAAAGUCCUUGCGGUGAGUGGGAAACAUUGCCCAUCCGAAUUAUUGGUAACGCUUAAGACAACUUGGCCACAGCUCGACAAAGCGAUUAAAGCAGAAACAACAUCUGAUUAAAAUUCAGAUUUAGAACAAGAAAAAAAGAAUCAGGGAGAAAAGUGCACGUUAUCUUCCUCAGACUCUGAUUCUGAAGAAAAUAUGAAUUGCGUGAAACAAAUGCCAGUUUUACAACCAAA